rnacentral:rRNA from 1 species
UACCGAGUGAGGGCCCUCUGGGUCCACCUCCCACCCAUGUUUAUUGUACCUUGUUGCUUCGGCGGGCCCGCCUCACGGCCGCCGGGGGGCUUCUGCCCUCUGGCCCGCGCCCGCCGAAGACACCAUUGAACACUGUCUGAAGAUUGCAGUCUGAGCAAUUAGCUAAAUAAGUUAAAACUUUCAACAACGGAUCUCUUGGUUCCGGCAUCGAUGAAGAACGCAGCGAAAUGCGAUACGUAAUGUGAAUUGCAGAAUUCAGUGAAUCAUCGAGUCUUUGAACGCACAUUGCGCCCCUUGGUAUUCCGGGGGGCAUGCCUGUCCGAGCGUCAUUGCUGCCCUCAAGCACGGCUUGUGUGUUGGGCCCCGUCCUCCUUCCCGGGGGACGGGCCCGAAAGGCAGCGGCGGCACCGCGUCCGGUCCUCGAGCGUAUGGGGCUUUGUCACCCGCUCUUGUAGGCCCGGCCGGCGCUUGCCGACAACAAUCAAUCUUUUUUCAGGUUGACCUCGGAUCAGGUAGGGAUACCCGCUGAACUUAAGCAUAUCAAUAAGCGGA